GACGAACGCUGGCGGCGUGCUUAACACAUGCAAGUCGAACGGAAAGGCCCUGCUUUUGUGGGGUGCUCGAGUGGCGAACGGGUGAGUAACACGUGAGUAACCUGCCCUUGACUUUGGGAUAACUUCAGGAAACUGGGGCUAAUACCGGAUAGGAGCUCCUGCUGCAUGGUGGGGGUUGGAAAGUUUCGGCGGUUGGGGAUGGACUCGCGGCUUAUCAGCUUGUUGGUUGGGUAGUGGCUUACCAAGGCUUGGACGGGUAGCCGGCCUGAGAGGGUGACCGGCCACAUUGGGACUGAGAUACGGCACAGACUACUACCGGAGGCAGCAGUGGGGAAUAUUGCACAAUGGGCGGAAGCAUGAUGCAGCCACGCCGCGUGCGGGAUGACGGCAUUCGGGUUGUAAACCGCUUUCGCCUGUGACGAAGCGUGAGUGACGGUAAUGGGUAAAGAAGCACCGGCUAACUACGUG
rnacentral:rRNA from 1 species